rnacentral:lncRNA from 1 species
GACAAAGAGUAGAGAGAAAGGUAAUUCUAAAGCUAAUGCGAAAUGCUGGACAUUUUGCUUUUGGGAGGCGGUGAGAGACUCAGCUGGCCGGGAAGGGGGCCUAUGAGCCACUGAGUUUCUAACAAUGUAAUCAAGAGUCAACACGUGGGCAGAAAAUAGGACGCUUUGAAAUUCACUAUCUUCAGAAAGCCUUUCCAGACUCCAGCUACUCUUCUGCCGCGGCUUUCUUACUUCUUUUCUCUUCUCGGCUUAUUUGGGUUGGCUUCUUUGCCCACGACUGUCACUCUCCACCAAAGACAGAGGAUCCGAUGCAGGAGGCAGACAGAGCUGGGCUUCAACGCCAUGCCACUUGCUGUGACGGCUCAACGGUUCACUAA